UUAAAUAAAUAUGGGAAAUAAAUCCAAAAUAGGUAUCUAUAUAUAGAUUGAAUAAAUAAAUAUUCGGGUGAUUGGUAAUAUAUCUAAAAUAAAUUACCAAAUGUAGAUCCUAAAUUGCAAUAAAUUGUGAAUAAAUAAAUUGUGACUAAAUAAAUAAUUAAAUAAGACGGAACAAACAAUAAAUACCCAAUAAAAAAAUAUAUUAUCAAAUAAAUAUUUGUAACUAAAAUUAAUAAAAAAAAAUGUCUGAAGCCCAAAGGCUCCCGUUGCCGCCACUCGGGAGGCGUGUCGGUCUUCGUCGACGAAGAUUUAUCCCAAUAAAAUUGUGGAUCAGCAAAAAAAGGAACGUUAUCUGGUCCAAACUCGGAUCUUGCCAAUAGGUGAUGGCCACUCAACUUCCUUCGGAAGUUUUAAAAAAGUAUAGUGUUUCCGGCGGUCCUCCGCUUUGGUGUCUCCUCGCAAUGGCAGCUUCCUCGUUUCACCCCUGCGCCCUUCGUUCUUAGCCUGGCAGUCUCAGCUUAUUAGAGCCCGUCGCUUAGCGUCUUGACUUGGUAUCUUGAAUAUCCUUGCGCCCUUCUCCAGCCUUCUCUUUUUGACCUUCACCUUCCUCAUCUCAGCCAAGAGACGCCAAGUCUCAGCCAAGAGACGCCAAGCCUCAGCCAAGAGACGCCAAGAGACGCCAAGUCUUAGCCUAGUUGCUCCUGUAGUUACGCAUCUCGACGUGGCAUCUUGAUCCUCGAAAUACAUAGCUCCUGACUCUUCUCGUCGACGUGCCCCUCCUUGAUCUGAGCUAGGCAGUCUCAGCCUAGUAAACCCUCUCAUUUAGCAUUUCGACCCGGCAUCUCGAUCCUUGCGCCUUUUUCCAGCUUCCUCAACUGCUGCCGUCUGCUCCUCGUCACCGGCUCUGUAUUUGAACUUCCCGCCUUUCCAUUUCCCGCUACCUUUUGUCUCUGGCAACUCCUCCGAUACUCACCACGAUCGAUUUAUCGAUAUCGGCGACCGGCGUUGCCAUUUCCUAUUCAUAUCAAUAUUUUCAGUUCGUGCCGAUUGCUGCCAAUAGUGUGCUUGCCUGUUGAAAAUCAUUCUGUAUACAGUAUUUUUUGUUUCCGCAGCACCCCAUUCCGAUUUUCUCCACUCGUGGUUCUGGUGUUGCAGCUCAAUGGAGCUCCACCUUCUCUAUGAAUGCUCCUGCGUGCUCUAUUGUGGCUGGCCCUGGACCUGAGCGAUUUUUCGGCUCACGUGCCUGGCCACGCGUCACCCCUCGCGCUCGCUCCUAAGCCCAUAGAUAUCAAAUAUCAUUUUACCAGAGAACAAAUUGAAAACAAACUAAUUUGUGUUAAGUAUCUUUCCACAGAUCUACAAUUGGGUGAUAAUUUGACAAAGCCACUACCAACUGCCAGGUUCACUGCACUGCGACCCCAACUGAGGCUAUCCGAAUGAGCAAAAUUAAUUUUUAUAUACAGUCUGAAUCUUUUAUGUAUAUAUAUAACCAUAAUCAAAAAAAUUACUAGUUUAAUCAUUACGAUGUAUCUAACUGAAUCUUGUUAAAUUUUUAUUUGAUUAAACUAAUUGGGUUUUACUGGGUUUCCCCAAUUCUUUGCGGAAAAUGCUGGUUCAAUAAAGUAGACCCAGAAAAAGAAAGAAUAAGAAUACAACCAUUAGAAAACGGGCGCACUUGUCUGAAAGUAA